CCUAGUAACGGCGAGUGAAGAGGGAAGAGCCCAAGAUUGAAAGCUGGCGUCGCGUGCCGACGUACCGCAUUGUAAUCUCAAGAAGCGCGAUCCGCCUCGGACCAGGUCCAAGUCCGUUGGAAAAGGGCAUCAUGGAGGGUGAGAAUCCCGUGUGUGACCUGGAGCCGCCGAGGUGCUGCGAUGCGUUUUUUCUCCGAGUCGAGUUGUUUGGGAAUGCAGCUCAAAAUGGGUGGUAAAUGCCAUCUAAGGCUAAAUACAGGGGAGAGACCGAUAGCGAACAAGUACCGUGAGGGAAAGAUGCAAAGAACUUUGGAAAGAGAGUUAAACAGUACGUGAAAUUGCCAGAAGGGAAGGGUAGGAAGUCAGCGAUGCGGGGGCGUGGUUCAGCGGUGGGUGUGGAGCGCCUUAAUCAAGCGCGAGACAGCCCUGCGAAGACGGCGCGACUCUGCAGGCCAACGUCGGUUCUGUGGCGCGGGAAAGCGGGGCACGGGAAUGUGGCACUUUUUCACGAGAGUGUGUUAUAGCCCGAGCCUUCUGAGUCUGGACCAGCGACGGGGACCGUGGCAUGCAGCGUGAUGCUGGGGCUGUCAAAGGCCGCGGUGUUAGGCCUUCGGGCACUAUUCACGCUGAGGGCGUUGGUUACAUGACCGUCUACCACCCGUCUUGAAACAC
rnacentral:rRNA from 1 species